rnacentral:rRNA from 1 species
GACGAACGCUGGCGGCGUGCUUAACACAUGCAAGUCGAACGGAAAGGCCCUGCUUGCAGGGUACUCGAGUGGCGAACGGGUGAGUAACACGUGGGUGAUCUGCCCUGCACUUCGGGAUAAGCCUGGGAAACUGGGUCUAAUACCGGAUAGGAGCCAUUAUUAGUGUGAUGGUUGGAAAGUUGUUUCGGUGUAGGAUGAGCUCGCGGCCUAUCAGCUUGUUGGUGGGGUAAUGGCCUACCAAGGCGGCGACGGGUAGCCGGCCUGAGAGGGUGGACGGCAACAUUGGGACUGAGACACGGCCCAGACUCAUACGGGAGGCAGCAGUGGGGAAGAGUGAACAAUGGGAGCAAGCCUGAUGCAGCUACGCCGCGUGGGGGAUGACGGUCUUCGGGUUGUAAACGCCUUGCGCUAGGGACGAAGCUUUUUGUGACGGUACCUAGAUAAGAAGCACCGGCUAACUACGUG